GAACUUCUCUUCACGUCAUCUUUACAUCUUCAAAGUGUGAAACCACCUCUGUACUAUCAGCCAUCUCAAGAUUAGAUAUGUUGUCUCGGGAAAUCUGCGAUGAUAUUAAAGUCCUAGCCCAUCUGUCAUGAAGGGGUUAAUCCCAGAGUGCUGCUGUGCCCAAUUCCAUACAAACACAGCUAAAUGUAAAUGCUCAUCACUUUGAAACAAAAUACUAUAAUAAUGAAGAGAUUUUUAAUUAGACAAGAACCUCUGAGCCAAAAC